rnacentral:rRNA from 1 species
AGUGGCGGACGGGUGAGUAACGCGUGGGCAACCUACCCCACACAGGGGGACAACAGUUGGAAACGACUGCUAAUACCGCAUAGGCGCACAGCUUCGCAUGAAGCAGUGUGGAAAACCGAGGUGGUGUGGGAUGGGCCCGCGUCUGAUUAGCUAGUUGGCGGGGUAACGGCCCACCAAGGCGACGAUCAGUAGCCGGCCUGAGAGGGUGGACGGCCACAUUGGGACUGAGACACGGCCCAAACUCCUACGGGAGGCAGCAG